UUGUUUGUUUGCAUUUAAUAAAUAAUUUACUUUGACCUUGGAAGAAGAAACGUUUUCUGCAACUAAUUAUAUAUCUUCUCAAAUCUCAAUUCCUCCCAUCUGAACGUGCUUCGUACAAAAGGAGUUUUGAGUUGCAUCUCAUGACUAUGUUGCAUGGGCUCGCCAAUUCUUCACAGAGGCGCAAUUUGCUCCAGGAGCUUUUGGCCGUCGUAGCUUUGGACGAGCCAUAUUCCGUCGUCGCCGCCUCCCUGGCGAAACCCAUAAUCUGCUAUAAUUUUAUUUAGUAACGUUGAAGCUUUUCGUGAAUCAUUUUGGGUUUCUCAGUGGGCUGAUUAUCAUUAUUGAUUUGGGUUCUUAUUUUCUGCUUUGAUUUUCUUUUUAUGUUCUAUUCUGAUUAGAUGGAAGAGAAUUCUAGCAAGAAGAACUCAAUAACUGAGAAGCGAGAAAGAGGAACCUGAGUUGGUGUGAGUGGUUCUACUCUUAUUGAAGUAGAAGAUAAUUCUGAUCGAAGAAGUCAAGAGAUACGACCUGGAAGCUUAUCAAAAAGGAUCAAUUGCCAUGGAUUUAGUUAAAGCAUGUUUUAUAGUAUGCAAUCUGGACACAGAAAUAUUGAAAUAUGUUGAAGAAGCUUUAUCCAAAAGGUGUCUACGCUGUCUGCUGUGGAAAUUGGAUAGAUGUUGAGGCUAGGCUCCUCGCUGCUUCUUCUGAUGCCUCCAUGUAGAUUAUUCCUUUCUUCAGCGAUGAUAGUAGAAAUAAUUUCAUUCUCUUAAAGUUUUUCAGAGCAAGCGAGACUUUAGGAUUGUUGAAGCUCUCAACAUGCUUCUUAAGUGCUUAGCUUGGAAAAAUGAGUUUGGUGCUGACAGCUUGACACCAUCAGAGAAGAAGAUUUUUGGUUACACUGAGUUACAAGGAAAAUUUUGUAAAACUGAUGAAGUUAAUUUAAUAGAGUGUAAAACAAUGGAUUUCAGUAGUUAGCGUAAAAUACUUUCACUGAUGUAGAUUUUACAGUGGGAUAGAACUGAGACUUUUGUGGGUUUUAAGGUAUGAAAAAGGAGUGGAAGACAACUCUACAAAGUGAAAACUGCAUGAAGUAUUCACCCCAUUUUAGGGACAUGUUAAAGUUCAAUAAUGAAGUGUAGUAUCUCAUUUUUAUCGUGUUUGUCGUGGUUCAUUUUUUUACCAUGA